rnacentral:lncRNA from 1 species
CAAAUAAUAAUAAUAAUCUGCUUAAAAUAUGGGCAAAGGAGCCACAUAGACACUUCUCAGAAGAAGAUGUACAAAUAGCCAAUAAGUAUAUGAAAAAAUACUCAACAUCACUAAUCACCAAGGAAAUUCAAAUUAAAACCACAGUAAAAUAUCAUCUCACCCCAGUUAGGAUAACAAAAAGACAAAAAGUAACAAAUGCUGGUGAAGAUGUAGAGAAAAAGGAAAACAUUAUGAGAAACAGUAUGGAGGUCCCUUAAAAAGCUAUAAAUAGGACUACCAGAUGAUCCAGCAAUCCCUCUACUGGGUAUAUGCCCAGUAUGGAUUUGGAUUUCUUUUCAAUCCAAGGGAAAGGAAAUCAAUAUGUUGAGGAGACAUUUGCACUUAUGUGUUUAUUGCAGCAGUAUUCACAAUAGCCAACACAUGAAAUCAACCUAAAUGACUGUAACAGAUGAAUAAAGAAAAUGUGGUACAUGGUACAUAUAUACAAUGGAAUACUAUUCACCAAAAAACACAAAUCCAGUCAUUUAUGCCAAAAUGGAUGAGCUUGGAGGACAUUAUGUUAAGUAAAAUAGGGCAGACACAGAAAGACAAAUACAGCAUGUUCUCAUUCAUAUGUGGAAGCUUAAAAAUUUGAAAGUAGGCCGGGCACGGUGGCUCAUGCCUGUAAUCCCAGCACUUUGGGAGACCGAGGCAGGUGGAUCACGAGUCAGGAGUUCGAGACCAGCCUGACCAAUAUGGGGAAACCCUGUCUCUACUAAAAAUACAAAAAUUAGCCGGGCAUGGUGGCGUGUGCCUGUAAUCCCAGCUACUCAGGAGGCGGAGGCAGGAUAAUUGCUUGAACCCGGGAGGCGGAGGUUGCAGUGAGCCAAGAUCGCGCCACCACACUCCAGCCUGGUGACAGAGUAAGACUGUCUCAAAAAAAAAAAACACAACAAAAAUGUCUAGGAGCAGAGAGUAGACUAGUGGUUACUGGAGGCUAGGACGGGUAGCAGCAGAGAUUGGAUAGGGAGAAGUUGGUUAAUUAAUACAAAAUUACAGCUAGGGAGGAGGAAUAAGUUCUAGUG